UCACGUUGAAAAACCGGAUUUCAUCUGAUCACUGAAGUUAAGCAACGUCGAGCCUGGUCAGUGCCUAGAUUGGUGACCGCUUGGGAAUGCCAGGUGCUGCAAG